rnacentral:rRNA from 1 species
GCGUGGAGACAGGUGGUGCAUGGCUGUCGUCAGCUCGUGUCGUGAGAUGUUGGGUUAAGUCCCGCAACGAGCGCAACCCUCACCCCUGGUUGCCACCGGGUAAUGCCGAGCACUCGAGGGGAACUGCCAGCGUCAAGCUGGAGGAAGGCGGGGAUGACGUCAAGUCAUCAUGCCCCUUACGCCCUGGGCUACACACGUGCUACAAUGGCCGGUACAAAGGGACGCAAGACCGCGAGGUGGAGCUAAUCCCAAAAAGCCGGUCUAAGUUCAGAUUGCAGUCUGCAACUCGACUGCAUGAAGGAGGAAUCGCUAGUAAUCGCGCAUCAGCCCGGCGCGGUGAAUACGUUCCCGGGCCUUGUACACACCGCCCGUCACACCACGAAAGCUGUCUGUACUCGAAGUCGCUGAG